rnacentral:rRNA from 1 species
AUACGAAGGGUGCAAGCGUUAAUCGGAAUUACUGGGCGUAAAGCGCGCGUAGGUGGUUCAGUAAGUUGGAAGUGAAAUCCCCGGGCUCAACCUGGGAACUGCUUUCAAAACUGCUGAGCUAGAGUACGGUAGAGGGUGGUGGAAUUUCCUGUGUAGCGGUGAAAUGCGUAGAUAUAGGAAGGAACACCAGUGGCGAAGGCGACCACCUGGACUGAUACUGGCACUGAGGUGCGAAAGCGUGGGGAGCAAACAGGAUUAGAAACCCCGGUAGUCC